rnacentral:snRNA from 1 species
AUCGCUUCUCGGCCUUUUGGCUAAGAUCAAAGUGUAGUAUCUGUUCUUAUCAGCUUAAUAUCUGAUACAAGGACCAUGUGUCCUUCUCGAUAUUAAACUUAUUUCUGAGCGGGGAGGGAGACUCACAUGCUUGCAUGGGCUCCUUCACGAGUUGGCCUGGUAUUGCAGUAUCUCCAGGAAUUUGCUCACUUUCC